CCUACGGGUGGCAGCAGUCGAGAAUCAUUCACAAUGGGGGAAACCCUGAUGGUGCGACGCCGCGUGGGGGAAUGAAGGUCUUCGGAUUGUAAACCCCUGUCAUGUGGGAGCAAAUUAAAAAGAUAGUACCACACGAGGAAGAGACGGCUAACUCUGUGCCAACAGCCGCGGUAAUACAGAGGUCUCAAGCGUGGUUCGGAAGCACUGGGCGUAAAGCGUGCGUAGGCUGUUUCGUAAGUCGUGUGUGAAAGGCGCGGGCUCAACCCGCGGACGGCACAUGAUACUGCGAGACUAGGGUAAUGGAGGGGGAACCGGAAUUCUCGGUGUAGCAGUGAAAUGCGUAGAUAUCGAGAGGAACACUCGUGGCGAAGGCGGGUUCCUGGACAUUAACUGACGCUGAGGCACGAAGGCCAGGGGAGCGAAAGGGAUUAGAUACCCCAGUAGUC
rnacentral:rRNA from 1 species